rnacentral:tRNA from 1 species
UCGAAGUGCAAAUUCGAAGGAGCACCCCCUAAAGGGUGCCGGGGCUU